UUUUUAAACAUUUUUUAAACCUAAAUUAAGAGAUAAAAAAACAAUAUAAAUAUCAUUAUUGAUUGCUUCAGUUCAUUUCAUUGUCAUAAUUUUAACAUACAAAUUCACAACUCUAAAGUCCUUAAAUUAGAAAACUAAAAAUACAACAAUUUGGUGCUCAACAAACUAAUUAAAUUAUAUCUCAUAAAAUAUUGAAUCAUAAGCGAUAUUUCUUAAAUCUUUUGCCCUGUGAAUUUAUCAUUAUUCCUUUAAGGACGUUUAGAACCAUAUAGAAAAACACAUUCACAUUCAAUAUCAAUACACCGUGGAACUCGAGGAAAGGGACAUAUGUUUUUUGUACAAUCAAGAUGAUUCUUACAUUCAACCGAUUCUGGCAUGAAAAAAGAAAAUAUAAUAAUGUUAGUUCAAAAGGAAUAAACUAGUGUGUAAUAAGUAAAGAAUAAAAGUUUAAGAAGAUAGAAAAAUGACUUACCAUUAAUAUUUGUUGCAACAGAAAAUAUAGACACAAACAGGACCAUAACAACAAUAAACUCCAUAACUUUAGCCAUAUUUUUCUCUUUACAUACAAGAGUUAGAAAAUUAGUUGAUCACUUUAUAUAGCAUAUAAACAUAAACUCACUUACAUAAAUUAAAUAGAUUUUAUCUCUUAUACAGAGGUAAAGAAAACUCUCCAAAAUUUAAAUCAUUAAAAAUGUCUUUUAAGCACAUUGAAAUAUUAUGACUGUCCCUUUAAUACACUUAGUAAGAAUGUCACAUUUUUUCUUUUAAUUAUAAGUCUUUUUUUUUUAUAACUUUUCUAUAUAAAAAAACUAAAAUAAUAAAAGAGUAGUAAUAUUGUUGCACUAGAAACAAGUUAUUUGUAAGAAUAAUGCACCAAUAAGAUAAAAAAAAAUUGCAUUAAUUGAUCUAAUGGAAAUUAAGAUCCACUUUUUAGAAUAAAAUUGUUAAAUUCACAUAUAUUGUAUAAUUCAUAUUGUUUUAAGAAGAAUUUUUUUCACGUGGUUUUACUACAAAAGUACAAUACAUUUUUCUAUGAACAAAAAUAUGGAUAGACAUGUAUAACAUUUUUUUCUUUAAUAAAAUGAGGUUCAAAAGAUUUAACAGAAACAUAUCAGUGAAAUGUUAAAUUUACACAAUUAAGUUGUAUAUUCUUGUUGAUAUUCUUAUCAAUAAUUUGAUUAAUUGUAAGUUAGCUACACGACAUGGUGAAUAGCUCUUAGGCAUAUCCCAACAACUAAUAAUAUUAUUUUCAUCGCACCAAAAAUUUAUUGAAAAAUAUAAGAUAGUUUAUUACAAGCGUACAAGUAAGGAGUCAC
rnacentral:lncRNA from 1 species